rnacentral:SRP_RNA from 1 species
GAAGGCGUUGCGCGAGGCGGAGCUCACAGAGCAGCGUUUCC